rnacentral:rRNA from 1 species
UACCCCCGAUCAAGCAAGAAGACCCGC